GAUGCCGACCAACAACAGUGUUCCCUGGGUUCCUUGGGUUCCACCGCCGCCACAACUGGGCUCUUCGAUUCAGAGGCGCCCUUACCCUAGCAUUCUGUGUUAUCUCAAGUGACCUCAGUUUCCCAGGGUCUCACAAUUUUAGAGGGGAAGAGUCAGAGAGGCUGACAAAUUCUGCCCCUCAGGGCAGGAUCUGACCAAUGGGAGUUGGGGUUUGCCUUUUUUGUCCCUCCUCCCCAGUCCUGGGAAGGAUACUCGGAGCUGUGCGGUUGGAAGCAGCUCCAGGACUCCUGGUUCUCACCCAUCAGUCACUGGGGGUCACCGGCCUCCGCUUGGGCACCCUCCUCCACAGAAAGAGGCCCCAGGACUCCCCUUCAGGACCUGAUGGCAGCUGUUGGUCAACCGUGGACCGUGAGGGAAAGUAGUAUACAAGAUGUGGAGCAGCAGCGCCCCCAAGAGGAGCAGAGCUGUACUGCAGGACGUGACAGCUGGCCCACCUGGAGAAGCCCUUGCUGCUUAAGUAGAGCAUCAGAAACCAAACCUUAGACGUGUUUCUUGGACUUUCUGGACUUUCUUACACUCCCCUUUGCUGAUCUGUUCUCCCUGGGCCAGACAGGCAUUCCAUGGAUGCUUCUAUCAGGUGAGCAAAGGAACCCCAGCGUCUCCUAAGUCAGGUAGCUUUGAAUGUUUUGUUUUUAAUUCUGCUUAAUUUCAGGUUAAUGUGCCCAAACUGGUUCAAGAUCUGUGGUUUUCCUUGAAUGAUUCUGAAAGACCGUAAUGUCUGGAAAUGUUUUAGCCAUGAAAGAAAGAGAAUCAUCCUCUAAUGCCUAAGAAAAUAAACCAUUAAUAUUACGACUUUGAAUGU